GACGAACGCUGGCGGCGUGCUUAACACAUGCAAGUCGUACGGUAAGGCCCUUUCGGGGGUACACGAGUGGCGAACGGGUGAGUAACACGUGAGUAACCUGCCCACAACUUUGGGAUAACGCUAGGAAACUGGUGCUAAUACUGGAUAUGUGCUCCUGCUGCAUGGUGGGGGUUGGAAAGCUCCGGCGGUUGUGGAUGGACUCGCGGCCUAUCAGCUUGUUGGUGGGGUAGUGGCCUACCAAGGCGGCGACGGGUAGCCGGCCUGAGAGGGUGACCGGCCACAGUGGGACUGAGAGACGGCCCAGACACCUACGGGAGGCAGCAGUGGGGAAUAUUGCACAAUGGGCGCAAGCCUGAUGCAGCAACGCCGCGUGCGGGAUGACGGCCUUCGGGUUGUAAACCGCUUUCAGCAGGGACGAAGCAUUUUGUGACGGUACCUGCAGAAGAAGCACCGGCUAACUACGUG
rnacentral:rRNA from 1 species